rnacentral:rRNA from 1 species
UGGGGAAUAUUGCGCAAUGGGGGCAACCCUGACGCAGCAACGCCGCGUGAAGGAUGAAGGUUUUCGGAUUGUAAACUUCUUUUGUCAAGGACGAAGAAAGUGACGGUACUUGACGAAUAAGCCACGGCUAACUACGUGCCAGCAGCCGCGGUAAUACGUAGGUGGCAAGCGUUGUCCGGAUUUAUUGGGUGUAAAGGGAGCGUAGACGGAGCAGCAAGUCUGAUGUGAAAGGCAGGGGCUCAACCCCUGGACUGCAUUGGAAACUGUUGAUCUUGAGUACCGGAGGGGUAAGCGGAAUUCCUAGUGUAGCGGUGAAAUGCGUAGAUAUUAGGAGGAACACCAGUGGCGAAGGCGGCUUACUGGACGGUAACUGACGUUGAGGCUCGAAAGCGUGGGUAUCGAACAGGAUUAGAUACCC